GAUGAAGCAAAGUUUGCAAACAGAGUCCAAUUGAGGAAAAUUAACAUGUCGUGAACUAAUUUACAGUAAAUUCUAUAAAUUCCUCAAGAUAUUUUGGAUUCGCCAAAUAGUAAUGAAGAAGCUAAAACACAUGUUAGUAGUGUUGUAUCGGGCAGUUUGGUUAAUUCGAACAAAAAUCUAUGGUAAGUGGUCUAGCUUUUUAAUUAA